UACGUAGGGGGCUAGCGUUGUCCGGAAUCAUUGGGCGUAAAGAGCGCGUAGGCGGCUAGAUAAGUCCGGUGUGAAAGUCACAGGCUCAACCUGUGAAUGCCGCUGGAAACUGUCUGGCUAGAGUCCGGAAGGGGCGAGUGGAAUUCCUGGUGUAGCGGUGAAAUGCGCAGAUAUCAGGAGGAACACCAAUGGCGAAGGCAGCUCGCUGGGACGGUACUGACGCUGAGGAGCGAAAGCCAGGGGAGCAAACGGG
rnacentral:rRNA from 1 species